rnacentral:rRNA from 1 species
UGGGGAAUUUUGGACAAUGGGCGCAAGCCUGAUCCAGCAAUGCCGCGUGCAGGAUGAAGGCCUUCGGGUUGUAAACUGCUUUUGUACGGAACGAGACGGUCUUUUCUAAUACAGAAGGCUAAUGACGGUACCUGAAGAAUAAGCACCGGCUAACUACGUGCCAGCAGCCGCGGUAAUACGUAGGGUGCAAGCGUUAAUCGGAAUUACUGGGCGUAAAGCGUGCGCAGGCGGUUAUGCAAGACAGAUGUGAAAUCCCCGGGCUCAACCUGGGAACUGCAUUUGUGACUGCAUAGCUGGAGUGCGGCAGAGUGGGAUGGAAUUCCGCGUGUAGCAGUGAAAUGCGUAGAUAUGCGGAGGAACACCGAUGGCGAAGGCAAUCCCCUGGACCUGUACUGACGCUCAUGCACGAAAGCGUGGGGAGCAAACA